rnacentral:rRNA from 1 species
UGCAGUCGAGCGGUAACAGAGAGUAGCUUGCUACUUUGCUGACGAGCGGCGGACGGGUGAGUAAUGCUUGGGAAUAUGCCUUAUGGUGGGGGACAACAGUUGGAAACGACUGCUAAUACCGCAUGAUGUCUACGGACCAAAGUGGGGGACCUUCGGGCCUCACGCCAUAAGAUUAGCCCAAGUGGGAUUAGCUAGUUGGUGAGGUAAUGGCUCACCAAGGCGACGAUCCCUAGCUGGUUUGAGAGGAUGAUCAGCCACACUGGGACUGAGACACGGCCCAGACUCCUACGGAAGGCAGCAGUGGGGAAUAUUGCACAAUGGGCGCAAGCCUGAUGCAGCCAUGCCGCGUGUGUGAAGAAGGCCUUCGGGUUGUAAAGCACUUUCAGUAAGGAGGAAAGGUUAAGUGUUAAUAGCACUUAGCUGUGACGUUACUUACAGAAGAAGCACCGGCUAACUCCGUGCCAGCAGCCGCGGUAAUACGGAGGGUGCGAGCGUUAAUCAGAAUUACUGGGCGUAAAGCGUACGCAGGCGGUUUGUUAAGCGAGAUGUGAAAGCCCCGGGCUCAACCUGGGAACUGCAUUUCGAACUGGCAAACUAUAGUGUGAUAGAGGGUGGUAGAAUUUCAGGUGUAGCGGUGAAAUGCGUAGAGAUCUGAAGGAAUACCGAUGGCGAAGGCAGCCACCUGGGUCAACACUGACGCUCAUGUACGAAAGCGUGCGGAGCAAACAGGAUUAGAUACCCUGGUAGUCCACGCCGUAAACGAUGUCUACUAGAAGCUCGACUCUUCGGAGUUGUUUUUCAAAGCUAACGCAUUAAGUAGACCGCCUGGGGAGUACGGCCGCAAGGUUAAAACUCAAAUGAAUUGACGGGAGCCCGCACAAGCGGUGGAGCAUGUGGUUUAAUUCGAUGCAACGCGAAGAACCUUACCUACACUUGACAUACAGAGAACUUACCAGAGAUGGUUUGAUGCCUUCGGGAACUCUGAUACAGGUGCUGCAUGGCUGUCGUCAGCUCGUGUUGUGAGAUGUUGGGUUAAGUCCCGCAACGAGCGCAACCCCUAUCCUUAGUUG